rnacentral:lncRNA from 1 species
GGGGGUGGGGAGCCAGGAUUUGCGGGUUCGGGUCCCAGAAGGAUCCAGUGUCCGGAGCCCCGAGGGCCGGCCCGAGGCCCCUCCCACUCCGUCAGGUCUUUGUCCAGCGGCCCCUGUGUGUGAGGGAGGGGGGGGUGGGGACUGGGUUCCAGGCCCGGAGAUUCCCCAGCAUCGUGACGGGGCAGUGACAGGAGACUGAGGCCACUUGGGGCCCUGCGGGCCCUGCGACCCUCACACCCACACCCUGCCUUUCUUCUCUACUGGCCCGAGAGAGCUUAGCCCCCAUCUCGGAGUCAGAGUGUUGCAGGAAGCCACAUUUACCUUCACCCGUGGGUUAUAGGCUGCCAGGGGGACCCUCUGAGCUCCCAGCUCUCUCUCAUGAGCCCUUUAAACUUCCCCACUCUUGGUCUACACAGUGAUUCCCUUGCUAAGGAAAUCGCUUUAUAGAGGGUCCUCUGUAAGGGUUGGGCACACAGUAAAGGUUGGGUGCUCAGCAAAGGUAGGUCUGCCUUCUCGACCCUUCCAGUCCCCGUGGCCUCUCCGGCGGAGGAGAUCUGGAAAAGGGGCUGUGCGAGGGCGAGCGUGAGCGGCCUGGAGCCUGCGCCCAGCAGCGGCCGGGAGCCUGGAGCGCAGGGGUGGGUGGACGGGUGGGUGGGCUGUUAAAGGGACGGUCACUAAAUCAGGAUUAGGCCGUGGGGCUGUCAGGCUGCCAGGCCCUGUCUCCAUGGAUACCUAAUUUGGAGGAGAAUAGAGGACGGAAGAAUGUUUGUGUUGUCGUACGCCAGGGCCGCCAGGGCCGCAGCGGCUGAGCGGACCUCAGCCCUCGGCCAGGCAGCGAGAAAUGGCAAGCCGGUUCGAAUCCCACUCUGGCCUUCCGCGGGGCAGGAGACCUUCUCGGUGCUCGGGCUCCAGAGCCUUCCCUGUGGAGUCGCUGGAGUGGGCCAGAUAGUGCCGUGGUCCAAAGAACUCUGACCCUGCACAGGGAGCCCGAGACCCACCCAGAGUUCAACCCGAAUCCCCGUGCGUCCUUCUGGGAACGGCCGGACUGGGGUUCUCCCGAGCCCCCAUCCAGGAAUUCCGAGCCGGGAGCAAACGCCGUUCUCUGCUGUGCAGUGGCCCUGGGAGGACAGUCGGACCGGGCAGCUCAGUACUUGGCGCUGCGGGACCCAGCCGCGCGCGGGUACCAGGCGGCCGCCGGAGCGGCGGGGCAGGGGGCGGGGCGGGACUUCCUGGGGUGGGCGAGAAAGGGGCGGGGCCUGCCGCCGGCCUCACUCCGCUGGUGACAGGCCUCGUAAAUCCCCCUCUCCCGUAUUUAGCGCCGUUUCAUUAAUUUCCACUUGAUUCCAGUGGUGUUCCCAACAGCCACCCCUGUCAGGAGCGACCCUCGUGCUCUCCCAGUAGUAUAUUCUCAGGAGAGCCCUCUUGGGGCUAAAAGGAAUUAGCUUUGUGGGGCAGUGGAGUUGCCCGACACCCCCCACUUUUCAGGGGACCCCCAUCUCCCCGGGAGCAGAAGAGGAGGGCAGAGAGACACAGGGAUGUGUUGGGCCUGCGGGGGCCUGCGGGAUUUUCUGGCUGUGGCAUAAAGGUGGGCUGGGCUGAGGAUCCCGUGGGUGGACAAUUCCAGUGCGCAGACUGGAGGGGGGCAGGAGAGGGACCAGACCGGAUUGUGUUGUUCUCAGAGCCUUUUCCUGCCUUCCUCCUGGUCAUCCAUGGCCACAGCUUUUUAUGGAGCAAGCAUCCCCUCCCCUCCCCUCCCUGGGCUGCAGCUUUAUUGCUGAGACCUCAGACUCUCCACGCAAUUUCACGCCUCUCUGCCUUUGCUCUUGCUGUUCCCUCAGCCAAAUGCCUUCCCCAUUGUCCCUGUCUCUCCACAACCUCCUCAUUCUUCAAGGCCCAACUCAGAUGCCACACUUCCCCCAUGUAGCCUCCCCAGAGCCCCCAGCUCUUGUCACUUGCUCCUCUCUGCACAUUCUAGCCCUGCACCUGUGCCUCCCAUCAGCCUCUGUGGCUGAGUCCACACUAGGCUUUGCCUCCUGGAGGACAGAGCUGGAGCGCAAACUUCCCUGUCCCCCAUCCCCACUGGGCUUGGCACAGGGCCUGUCACCUUGUGGGUGCUCCGUAAAUAUUUGUUGGCUGAAUGAAAGGGUUUUCUUUUUUUCUUUCUUUUCUUUCUUUCUUUCUUUCUUUCUUUCUUUCUUUCUCUUUUCUUUCUUUUCUUUCUUUCUUUCUAAGGGCAGCCUGCGAAGCAUGGCAUCCGGACACUUUCAGGCAAAUAGCUCUGUGCUCCUGGGUGGGUGGAGACCCCUGGGUGGGUCUCUUCCUCCUCCUCCUUGCUGACCCUCCCCCACCCCAAGUCCGGGGAGGACUUUGCCCCUUCCUUUCCCCACAGGCCAGCAUUCUUUCCCUGCCAUUAUCAUCCUGUUAAACAGAGAGGCCAGUCAGGAUCCAUAUGGAUCACAUUAACAAUUGCUUAUUAUCUGGGCCAAGGCUGCCCCCACUCUCCACCCCCAGCUCCUACUGCUGCAGUUGCUGGACCCUUAGGAGCCCAGCCUCCCUGCCUCCCCCUCCCCCACCAUUGGUCCGUCAGGGAGGGCAGGGGCUAGGCUGGUCUCCUGACUCUCCCUGUGCCUUCUCGUGGAACUUGCCGCUUGUGGACUCGGUUGGCAGUUAAUGAUGCCUCUACCUGAUUUAACGAAAACCUAGUUCCCCGCAGGACCUUGGCUCAGUGACGUUCCAGGGCUGCCACAGGGAGAGGGGGCCCUGAGGCCAGGUACACCUGCGGUCAGCAAUACCAAGAGCCUCGGCCUUCCAGUGGGCUGGGGUGAACCCCACUAGGCCGACCAUGGGGUGUAGUGGUGUCUCCUGCCAUCUCAGCCCUGGGCUGGCCCUGCUCCCUUUGGGAGCUAGCAGACUAGUGAGCAAGAGCAAGGCAGGAGAGACCUUGCCGGGCUGUGUGGGUCCCGAGCCAUGUGCUGCAGUCAAAGAAGCAAGAAAUCCAAGUUUCCAGAGUGGCUGCUGAGUCGGUCUUGAAGGAUGAGGAAUGGAAUUUAUGUUUAAAUGCAGAAAGCCCAAGAAUACUAGGAGUGGAAGGGAUUGUCAAGAUUGCCCAGGCUUGGGUCCAUAACUGUUUUUUGAUUUACAGACCCCUUAGAGGAAGGACAAAAGCCGUCCCCAGAAAAAUGCACUCCAUCAAUCAAUACCAGACCUUGUGUUCUACUUUGGAGGGUUCCUAGACCCCCUGAACCCACAGGAACCCCGCGUCCAGAAACCCUCGCCCUAGUCCAGGUCCCCCUGAAGUGCCGGGAGCAGAGUGGGGCCUGCAGCCCGGGCCUCCUGCCCUCUCCUCUGUGGCAGGUGGACAGGAUGAGCUAUGAGACCAGGGGUAUCAGACGGAGCUGUCGGGGCUGGCUUUGAGUGGGAAAGGUUCAGGCUGCCUGGGUUGGGUAUGGGCUAGUCGUCUCAUCUCUGUGUCCCCUGCAGAGAGGAUGUCCGGGGUUGUUUGUUUUAGGACCCACUCAUUCCCAGGAACAAGGCUGCAGGGCAAGAAAGUCUAGCUCUUCUCUGAGCCUUCUUUUAAGUGUCUUGAUGAAGCAUGGCUAACUCAUAGCGCUUAUUGCAUAUUCUGUAUCUCAUCUGUGAAAUGGGACUGAUCUUGGUGCCGUCCUCAUAAGCAUUAUCCUGGGGAUGAAAUGAGGCAGGCGCUGGGAGCCCUGUGUCCUAGUCUUGAAAGACUGUGGGCCUGUGAGGCCCUAAUCGGAAGUGCAGAGACAGUGCUCAGGGCUCUAGAGAUUUUCUGUGACUUAUAAUGAGGUUUUGUCCUGAUAAAUCCAUCAGAAGUUGAAAAUAUUAUAAGUCAGGUGUUCCCAUUGUGGCUCAGUGGGUUAAGGACCCGAUGAUGCCUCUGUGAGGAUGUAGGUUCGAUCCCCGGCCUCAUUCAUUGGGUUAAGGAUCUGGCGUUGUGGCAUGCUAUGGUGUAGGUCACAGAUGCGGCUCGGAUCUGGCGUUGCUGUGGCUGUGGCGUAGGCUGUAGCAGCCGCUUCCAUUCGGGGCCCGGGAACUUGCAUCUGGCAGAGGUGCGGCCAUUAAAAAGAAAAGAUAUUGUCAAAGAUGCAUUUAAUACACCUGACCUACUGAACCUCAGAGCUUAGCCGAGCCUACCUUAUAGGUGCUCCGUAUACUUACAUUAGCCUACAGCGGGGCAGAAUCAUCUAACACGAAGCGUAUUUUAUAAUAAAGUGGUCGAUAUUGCGUAUAAGUCAUGAAAGACGGUACUGCAAGGGAAAAACAGAAUGGCUUGAUGGUGCAGAAUGGCUGUGAGUGUUUCUGCUGUUUAGCCUCGUGAUUGCCCGGCUGACUGGGAGCUGCAGCUCACUGCCACGGCCCAGCAGGGGAUCACACGUGGGUUGUACCUCGCUAGCCUAGGAAAAGAUCAAAAUUCACAAUUCAAAGUACAAUUUCUAGGAGUUCCCGUUGUGGCUCAGUGGUUAAUGAAUCCAAUGAGGAAUGAUGAGGUUGUGGGUUCGAUCCCUGGUCUUGCUCAGUGGGUUGGGGAUCUGGCGUUGCUGGGAGCUGCGGUGCAGGUUGCAGAUGCUGUGGCUGGGGCCUAGGCUGGCAGCUACAGCUCCGAUUAGACCCCUAGCCUGGGAACCUCCAUAGGCUGCAGGUGUGGCCCUAAAGAGACAAAAAGACAAAAAAAAAAAAAAAAAAAAAAAAAAAG